rnacentral:rRNA from 1 species
AUUGAACGCUGGCGGCAGGCCUAACACAUGCAAGUCGAACGAGUGGCGGACGGGUGAGUAAUGUCUGGGAAACUGCCUGAUGGAGGGGGAUAACUACUGGAAACGGUAGCUAAUAACGCAUACCAUCGGAUGUGCCCAGAUGGGAUUAGCUAGUAGGUGGGGUAACGGCGCACCUAGGCGACGAGCCCUAGCUGGUCUGAGAGGAUGACACGCCACACUGGAACUGAGACACGGUCCAUACUCCUACGGGAGGCAGCAGUGGGGAAUAUUGCACAAUGGGCGCAAGCCUGAUGCAGCCAGGCCGCGUGUAUGAAGAAGGCCUUCGGGUUGUAAAGUACUUUCAGCGGGGAGGCGUUACCCGCAGAAGAAGCACCGGCUAACUCCGUGCCAGCAGCCGCGGUAAUUC